rnacentral:sRNA from 1 species
UCGGCACCGCGAUUACGGCGGUGACAGCGGAGGGAUAUUACCGAGUUUACAACUCCCAAACCCAAUGUGAACGUUACCAAACUGUUGCCUCGGCGGGAUCUCUGCCCCGGGUGCGUCGCAGCCCCGGACCAAGGCGCCCGCCGGAGGACCAACCAAAACUCUUAUUGUAUACCCCCUCGCGGGUUUUUUUAUAAUCUGAGCCUUCUCGGCGCCUCUCGUAGGCGUUUCGAAAAUGAAUCAAAACUUUCAACAACGGAUCUCUUGGUUCUGGCAUCGAUGAAGAACGCAGCGAAAUGCGAUAAGUAAUGUGAAUUGCAGAAUUCAGUGAAUCAUCGAAUCUUUGAACGCACAUUGCGCCCGCCAGUAUUCUGGCGGGCAUGCCUGUCCGAGCGUCAUUUCAACCCUCGAACCCCUCCGGGGGGUCGGCGUUGGGGAUCGGCCCUGCCUUGGCGGUGGCCGUCUCCGAAAUACAGUGGCGGUCUCGCCGCAGCCUCUCCUGCGCAGUAGUUUGCACACUCGCAUCGGGAGCGCGGCGCGUCCACAGCCGUUAAACACCCAACUUCUGAAAUGUUGACCUCGGAUCAGGUAGGAAUACCCGCUGAACUUAAGCAUAUCAAUAAGCGGAGGAAAAGAAACCAACAGGGAUUGCCCCNUUUAACGGC